rnacentral:rRNA from 1 species
ACGAAGGGGGCUAGCGUUGUUCGGAAUUACUGGGCGUAAAGCGCACGUAGGCGGAUUGUUAAGUUAGGGGUGAAAUCCCAGGGCUCAACCCUGGAACUGCCUUUAAUACUGGCAAUCUAGAGUCCGAGAGAGGUGAGUGGAAUUCCGAGUGUAGAGGUGAAAUUCGUAGAUAUUCGGAGGAACGCCAGUGGCGAAGGCGGCUCACUGGCUCGGUACUGACGCUGAGGUGCGAAAGCGUGGGGAGCAAUCAGGA